AUUGAACGCUGGCGGCAUGCUUUACACAUGCGAGUCGAACGGCAGCGCGGGCUUCGGCCUGGCGGCGAGUGGCGAACGGGUGAGUAAUGCAUCGGAACGUGCCCAGUAGUGGGGGAUAGCCCGGCGAAAGCCGGAUUAAUACCGCAUACGACCUGAGGGUGAAAGCGGGGGGCCGAAAGGCCUCGCGCUAUUGGAGCGGCCGAUGUCGGAUUAGCUAGUUGGUGGGGUAAAGGCUUACCAAGGCGACGAUCCGUAGCUGGUCUGAGAGGACGACCGGCCACACUGGGACUGAGACACGGCCCAGACUCCUACGGGAGGCAGCAGUGGGGAAUUUUGGACAAUGGGGGCAACCCUGAUCCAGCCAUGCCGCGGGCGGGAAGAAGGCCUUCGGGUUGUAAACCGCUUUUGUUCGGGAAGAAAUCCUCUGGGCUAAUACCCCGGGGGGAUGACGGUACCGGAAGAAUAAGCACCGGCUAACUAC
rnacentral:rRNA from 1 species